CUGCGUGACCAAAUUUAGUACAGAGCAGUUUAGCCUUUUAAAGACAAGGGGGCCACGCAAUGAGAAAAAGAGAAAAAUGCAAAGGCUGGCAGAAGCCGCAGGACACUGGAAGCCAGGGUAGCAGGGACCGGGAGUCAUGAAGAGAGCAGCUCCUGCUGCCACCGCACUCUGCCUCCCCGCAAGCUCCACAGCAAAGAAGCCAGGAACUGCUGUCUGGAAUCCCUGGAACUGUACAUGAGUAGUUUGUCUGGAUAAUGUAUGUGCGCACACCGGCGCUGGUGCCCUGGGACUGGAGUUGCAGAGUUGUGAGCUGCCUUGUAGGUGCUGGGAACUGAACUGACCUGCCUCCUCUGGAAGGUAGCGGUGCUUUUAACCUUUCAACCACUGCCCCAGCUCCACAUUUGCACCUUUCUUUCAAAUGGUGAGGCUAAAACCAAGCCUGAACCCAGGCCUUUGCAUUUACUAGGUAAGCUUUCUAGCACUAAGGCACACUCCCAGACCAAUCUUAACAUUUUGGGAGUAGGGAGGGGAGGGUGGUUUGUUUGUUUGUUUGUUUGUUUAUCUCCUUAUUUGCCUGAUUGCUUUUGAGACAAAGUAUCCCUACAUAGCCUUGGCAGGCUGGGAACUCCCUCUGUAGACUAGGCUGGCCUAAAAAGUCAUAGAGAUCUACCUACCUCUGCCUCCUG